UUAGAGUUUCUUGUGCAGGUGCCUGUUCUCUUUUGACUUUCUGCUUCUCUUGAAAUUAAUAAAGAUGAAAAAAAGUCCAAAAAUAAUUUUCCAGCUUUGCUUUUUUUUUUUUUUUUUUUUUUUUUUUUUUAAUUCUAGAAGAAAAAGUUCCAUUAGCCUUUGAGAAAUACAAACACUGCCAUGAAUUAGCGUCAGAUUUUUCCCUGUGUGGUUCUCAAGAGGCCUCCUCCACAAUGUUCAAGACAUUCACUACAGCCUAUGAAGGGGAAAGGAGCAUGGAAAUUCCAGGGGCUGCUUCAAGAGUUUGCCAGUUUGAACUGAAAGAGCCUGAUGGGUUGCCACCAGUUGUUCCAUCCUUGAGGAACACCAGGCAGGCACCUGCACUCUCUGAGGCAUCUCAACCCUCCAUUGAUGAGCUGCCUCCACCAG
rnacentral:lncRNA from 1 species